AAAAAUAUAUCAAACAGAAAUAAAGUAAACUAAAUUAUUUAUGAAUCCAAUGUCCAGUUACAAAUUUUUGGGCCUAAAUUAAACUAAACCUAAACCUAUUGAUUUAGACCUAACCCAAGAAAAACCCAAAAUUUAGACCUAAUGGCCCAAACCCGAACUAACCCAAAAAAGGGCCCAACAACAGAAAACACCAGAAACCCUAGGGGUUUCUGGAACACACUAGAGCAGCAGUAGAUCGGGCUCCCACAAGUGAUUCCCACGCACGGCCUCCAUGGCCCCUUCCUCCGUACAGCACGACUUAGAACCUGCGAGAAGAACAAAUCAACGAAGAAAGUAAUAACAAAAAAAAUUUGUAUUUACAUUUUGUAUUUUAUUAUUAUUUUUUCCUUUUGCUCGGCUAUAAAAAUCCAAUUGUACACUGUAAAUUGGAUUACGCAUGCAAAUCAAACAGAGAGAAAUUAAAAAAUUUUAAAGGUGACUUUAGAUUUUAGCUUUUCUAGUUUUUUCCUUUCGAUUUAUUUUCUGGAAAUGCUUCAUCAUUGCGUUUGUUUUUUUUUUAAAAAGGAAAACAUGGGAAAAGAAGCUUUACCGUGCAAAAAAUGCCAUGGAUUUCUUCUCUUUGCUUCGUUGACAUCGAAGCAGAAGGGAGAUCUCGAGGCUGAAAGGCUAUUCCUUCAAGUUUGAAAAUGCCAUUUUGUGGAGAGGAAUCGGCAGUUAAAGGGAAAGCAUUUAGGGUUGCUGGUUGGGGAAGAAAGGGGGCUAGGGUUGGUUUGGCCGAAUAUGCCCUGGUUUUAGUUCUUUUAAAGAACCAAAAACGAUGCCAUUUUGAG
rnacentral:lncRNA from 1 species